rnacentral:misc_RNA from 1 species
GCUUUACCUGAGUGCUCAGUCUAUAAGUCAUGAGAUCAAAAGAUCCAUCUGGAGGUAUGAAGGAUAUGGUCCGAUCAUUUUCAAAGCGGGCCAAGCGUACGCACUGGUGAAAUUUGAUAUCUUCCAAAUCAAUAGCUUUUCCUUUUGUAGUUCGGCCUUGUGCUUCCAAUAAUACUCUGUCAUUGAGCCCAAGCUUACACUCAGGCAUACCACUUAAGUAAGUUCUCAUCUUCAAUGCGCCCACAACAUCUGACCUAAUUAUUUGCCCGUUACUGUUGACAAGUAUAUUA